GUAUUUACCUGGGCAGGGGAGAUGCCAUGAUCAGGCAGGUGGUUUUCCCAUGGCGAGGCUCAUCCCUUGUACCCCAGGUGUGCUGAUCCUUGCAGUGUCCCCAAAUGCAGCAAACUUAACUGCAUGCUUUGUGGCAGCAGAGGAUGUUUGUUUCUAUCCUGGUCCUCUC
rfam:Calypte anna contig66783, whole genome shotgun sequence.